GACAGAGGGUGCAAACGUUGUUCGGAAUUACUAGGCGUAAAGGGCGCGUAGGCGGCCUGCUAAGUCGAACGUGAAAUCCCCGGGCUCAACCCGGGAACUGCGUCCGAUACUGGCAGGCUUGAAUCCGGGAGAGGGAUGCGGAAUUCCAGGUGUAGCGGUGAAAUGCGUAGAUAUCUGGAGGAACAUCGGUGGCGAAGGCGGCAUCCUGGACCGAUAUUGACGCUGAGGCGCGAAAGCCAGGGGAGCAAACGGG
rnacentral:rRNA from 1 species